rnacentral:rRNA from 1 species
GUAAGGAAUAUUGGUCAAUGGACGCAAGUCUGAACCAGCCAUGCCGCGUGGAGGAUGAAGGUCCUCUGGAUUGUAAACUUCUUUUAUCUGGGACGAAAAAAGGGAAUUCUUUCUCGUCUGACGGUACCAGAUGAAUAAGCACCGGCUAACUCCGUGCCAGCAGCCGCGGUAAUACGGAGGGUGCAAGCGUUAUCCGGAUUCACUGGGUUUAAAGGGUGCGUAGGCGGGUAUGUAAGUCCGUGGUGAAAUCUCCGAGCUUAACUCGGAAACUGCCAUGGGUACUGCGUAUCUUGAAUGUUGUGGAGGUGAGCGGAAUAUGUCAUGUAGCGGUGAAAUGCUUAGAUAUGACAUAGAACACCAAUUGCGAAGGCAGCUCACUACACAAAUAUUGACGCUGAGGCACGAAAGCGUGGGGAUCAAACAGGAUUAGAAACCCGGGUAGUCC